UAUAUGUAUUUUAUAAUGCAUUGCUACCAAUGGUUGCAAUAGCAAACUUUAACCUUUCUCACGUUUACAUCUCGUGCUGGUUUUAAGGUGGUUGUCUUUAUUUUUGCAGGGAGGAGGGAGAAGGGUUGAGUGGAGAACUGGGGGGUGUCCUUUUUGGGUUUUUUUUUGCCUGGGAUUGGGUUCUUCCAACCUCUUGAGUUUCCUCCCCCCUCAGCUUCGCCGUGCUUUGAACUGCUGACAUUGAGACACUGUGCAGCCAGGCACGACAGCUGGCCCUGCAAGCAUCUAAUACCAACACAUGCUGGUUUAGCCCAUUUCCAGAGCAAGGAAGAUAAUGAAAGAUUCAAAAAAAUAAUAUUUGUUUUGGCGGAGCUACGUUUAUAAUGAAAUAGAUGCCCUUGACCAUGGAAGAAACUGAAUUUUGCAGCGGGUUAUUCUUCCCUCCCUCCUCCCUUUCCCCCCCACCCCCUCUAAGGCCAACAGAAAUAUUUUUGAAGGACUAUGUUAUAUUUCCUGCUACAGCAGCAUUGCAGCUACACUGGCUGUACUGUUUUACACCAGAAUGAAAAAUGCAGAGUACAUCCUAUGUAUCAAUACCAAAUGGAAAAGAGCCCCAGGGCCUGAGAAUCGUUACAGAUCACUUUCAUGAGCUCAUCCUGGAAGCAUCUGAAAACAGAAAACCAAUUCAUUGUAGGGACAUUUUUAGAUCUGUGCCCAAAUUUUCUUCCCUCAUGCUGCCCGAUUUGUUUUGAAAUAGAGGAAAUUAGUCAUCUGAUCAGGGCAAGAAAGAUUUGGCCCAUAUAGUUCCCACUUAAUUUCUCUAAGCAGUUCUCAAGCUUUGUCAGUGGUACUUGAUGUGGUGUAGCAGCUGAGUAAGAAGCAUUGACACAGUUGAUAGGACAGUGCUAUCACCCUACAAACAAUACUAAAUUAUUGACUAGGAGCACUAAUUUCAAACUGCUGUUUCUGGUAACAUCACAGAUCAUUAUUCCUUGUAGAAAUCUCACAGCUUGUUACAUUCAAUUAUUUUUCCCAAUGUUUUACCAGAUUUCAAAAUUGUCAUCUUUAUGGUAAGUAUUGCACCCAGGUCAAAAGAGAUAGACUUGGUAUUAAAAUGUUUAUUUAUGGUGAAAGGUGGUGCUGAAGACCUGCUUCAUGCAAGGAAAGAAUAAGAAAUACAGAAGGAUUGCUUAAAAACUUAAAGCACAGUAAUCCAAGGGGAGUACUGUAAGAUUUAUGUGCUAUUUCAAGAGUAAUUUCUCAGUAAGAAUCUUACAGGAAAGUGAAAAUCCUCCAAGAAUUGCAUUUACAGAUUUAAUUGUAAUUCCUUUUAUAUUCUUACAGGAAUUGAAUAGAAACAUUGUUCAAAGGCCUCUCUGUAAAGCUGCCCUGCCCGGUGGAGCAGCCGGGCACUCCGCACUGCCACGGCCGGCUGGAAAACCAAUGGAAAAUGGGCCUGGCACUGUCCUUGCUGGGCAGGAGCCCCAGUGGGGCAUUCCAGGAACACCCCUGGUGCAAAUACAGCUCAGCAGAGGCCAUGGGCACUGGGGGCUGGUUUUGUUUCACAUUGCUUGUGUGGGGGAUGAGUAAUGAAUAAAUAAUCCUUGGAAAAGGAGUGAGUGGGGUUCCCAGCCUUUCCAUCUUCCCCACCUCCCUUCCUCUCCCUUCCCUCUCAUUUGCCCCAUUCCCCCCCCCUUUCUUCCUUUUCCCCCUCUUUAUUCCCUUGCCCCCCUUUUCCUCCAUUUUCUGCUUCUUUUCCUCCUUUUUCCCCCAUUUUCCCUUCUUUUUUGCCCCUUUUUUCCUUUUUUAUUUUUUCCCUUUUUUCCCCUCAUUUUCCUUUUCAUCUUCUCUUCCUCUAGCUCCUUUGUUUCUUCUCUUCAUUUUUUUUGUUUUUUCUUCUUUUUUUCCCUUUUCCAGUUUUUCUCUUUUCCUUCUCCAGAAGCCCUACCCCAGCAUAACCUUUAAUAUCUCCCUGUCCUUAACUCUGGGAUUUCCAGGUGAUUGGCUUUUAAUAUCACUGACUUUUGUUGCGCGCAUUUUUAGAGAGGAGCAAAUCCAGUAUUUCUUACCACCCCCCGUAUUCAAAACCCCUUUUUUUCCCCAUUAUAGGAGGGAAGGUGAGCAGGGGCUCCCUUAUCCCCACUGCUGCAGCCACCUCCUUUUCACUUCUUCCCAGUCCUGGGGGGUGCAGUGAUGGAGACCCUGAUCCAGACCAGCCCCUGGCCUGUGUGAGGUAACGUGUGGGUGGCAGCUGGCAGCAGGGCUGGGGGCUGGAGGAGCCUUCCUGGAGCCAGAGGAGCCUUCCUGGAGCCAGAGGAUCCUGCCUGGAGCCCGUGGCAGCAGCAGAUGAUGGGUCUGGGCUCCAUCAGCCACCGCCGGCAGGGCGGGAUGCAGUAGCUGGACCCCAAGGUGACAAUUGACAUGAGCUCGGGGCACUGGCAGCACCUUGGGUUGAUGAAAGGAUGUCGUUAACGAGCCUUCAACGUUUCUCAUUAGUGGCUGGCAUGGGUGGGUGGGUUCUUUUCACUGAAAAAAGCCAGAAGACAGAAAGUCCACCUGGGCAGUAAUUAAGAUCGAUCCCAUACAGUACAUUAUCAAUUUUUUAAAACCUCUUUAAGUGCUUUAUUUAGUUAUUUUAAACAGGGCUUUUUAUUUGUUGCAGUGAGUAGUCCUUGAGCAUGGCAGAGAACUGAGGAGCCUGGAGGACUCUUCCUGGGCUCUCCUCCUUGUCCAAUCUUCAUCUAACCAGCAGAAAUGGGGGCUCUAGUCCAUCACCUCCACCAUGGGUGCUACGAAGAGCCACAGCAGGACGUGGAGCCCAUUGAUCUGGACCCAUGCUGCCAUCACCCAGGGUCUGUUUUCUGAGGUGGCAUCGCUCUUCUUUGGCUGAAAUUAUUGCUGCAAACCGCAUGAAGGUACCAAGGAGGUAAAAAGCAGAGCCUUUGCUCACUAAUUUGGUGUGGGCUUAACCAGCACGGAGGCCAGAGAGAGGGGCUCUGCCCAGCCAGGCCCCAGAGAGGCCUCAAGGGUGGGGGUCAACCCAAGGUAGGCACCAGCCGGGGUUAGGCAGGCUGGAAGAAGUGGUGUUUAAUUAAAAUAACCCUCAGCAUGACCCCAAGUGCAGAGCUGGUGGGAGUUAACUGGGAAAAACAGCUGCAACCCUUUUAUCUAAGGAAGAGAACCUUCCGAUGACAUCAUUUUUACUUCCCUGUGAACACUGAGGUGAUGAAGUUCCAUGUAGAAAACAUGGCUCAGUUCACAGUGGGCCAUCAGAGUGGUCUGGGUCUGAGCUUGCCUGAGCAACACAGCUCAGCUCCCUCUUAAAACCAUGGCCAGAAUAGGCAGGACACCAGGAGUAGGAAUCCCAAGUGUUUUUUGAUCCAGACUUGACUUAAAUCUUUAAAACUCUGUCAAUCACAAGGAAAAAAUAAUCGUAUUUCUGUUGGUGCAUGCUGUGAUGUUUUGAAAAAUUUUGAAACUGUACGUGGUUCAGUGGUGGAUUUGGCAGUGGUGGGUCAAUGUUGGACUCAAAGGUCUUUCCAGCCAAAAUGAUUCUGUGAUUAACCCCCUGAUAACACCAGGGGAGCAGCUGGUGUGGGUACAGACCUCACUGUGGGAGUGGUGAAAGGGAAGUGUCCACUCCUGUGUCAGAGGCUGAGAAACUUCCUGUGCAACCACCAAGUUCUGUGGAGAGCUGUAUUUAUUGUGGCCAGUGGGAAGGAAAAGCAAAGAUGGAAAUGAAACUGGUGUGUUGUUUUUGAAAAGUUUGCCAGAGAUUAUUGUGGAAAUGCAGUUGAGUGCAAGAAGGUGGCACUGGAGUGAAGGUUGAACCUCCCGGUAUCACUUGAACUGGAGGUCACUGGAGGUCUCCUCUGUGGCUGCAGAAGCAACAGUGGGAGUCUGCAAACUCAAGCGAUGUUUGUAAAUUCCAGCUACUGCUUUACAGCACGUUUGUCCUCUAAAAAAGAGCAGACUAAACCCAACCUGAGUUAUUGAAGAAAUCACUGUUUGAGAACAAGCAGAGCGUUAAUUGACCGGUUUCUUGUCCCCAGCUCAGUAAUCAGUCUUCCUGUACUGCAGCUCCUGGUGACCAGCAAACUGUCUCCAACCUUCUGGUUGUCAAGAAAAUUGUGACAAGGCGAAUGUCAGAUCAUGUGGAGCCUUCUGAGUUUUUUGACCCCUUCAAUCUGUUUUCCAACCUGGGUAGGGGGAAGAAGCUGUGUUGGACUAAUUGGUUGUCUCUCUUCAGGCAGUGGAUAAAGUCCAGGUACAUAAUCUGGCUGUUUUAGAUGAGCAGCAUCCUGUCUUUCACAGUCUUGUGUCCUUAUGUCAGCCACUGCAGGAUUGUGCUGGAAAAGUUCCUUUUGCCAAAGCUGGAGCAGAAGAUGUUGAGGUCCUACAGCGGUUUAUCUGCUGGCGUUCCUCUGCAGCAGGUUCCAGCGGUGGCAGCAGCACGUGGGUGACUCUUGGAAAAAGAAAAAGAAGUCAGAUUCAUCUUCACCAAAACCUAAAAUUCUGCAGCUGCUGGGAGGAUAUUAUAGCUUGAAAAUGUUGCACUUCCAGGUUUUGUUUCUACCCCACAGUUUAAGGUGGAAUACUCUGCGUGGGAAAGGAGCUGCACAGCGGUUGGUCUUGAUUUCAUGGACUCCAUUGAAGUGGUGAACGUCUUCAUGGACUCCGUGUAAGUUAUUUACCCAUCACUGGAGGUCCCGAGGCACCAGCAACAUGGCAGGACUCCUCUGGAGCUGGAGACUUCCAUCUUGAUGUCAGCUGCUUGAUGACAACGAGGAGAACGUGCCACAAAGUGCUGCUCCAGAUGUCCAGGGCAACCUGCUCAUCACAGGAGGAGAAACACACAAGUGAGACUUACCCCAGUGCUGCUUCCAGUACCAGAGCUCAGCCAAGCGCCACUCCCAGGGCCCAGGAAACUCCUCCCAAGGCAAGAGCAGAUCUGGCAGGUCAAGGAAUUCUCCUUUUGUUAAAAGAAAUUUGCAGAUGCAGGAUUCAUUUCCCUGCCUGGGAUCUGGCUGUGCAGGCUUUCCCUGGCCUGGUGGGUGCAGGUGAUGGAAUAGCUACUGGCUUGGGACAGGUCUUGGCACUGGGUGAGGGUUAUUUUCUGGCUGGCUCUGAGUGGGGCAGCUCUGCAGGUGCCUUUAUCCUGGGUUUGUGAAGGCUGUGAUUUGAUUAAACUGGGGGGGGUUGGAUGCUUCAAAAUCAGUAUGGUUUGAUGUUUAAGGGAUUGAAGUGAAACAUUUGAGAGCUGCUGUAGCUGAUUGCUGCACUGGUUGUACUGGUUCUUUGCAAAUCAGCCCAGGCACAUCCGUGCAGAGGUCCUGCACUGGGAGCAUUGCCUUUCAAAUCCCAAAGUACCGUGAUGAAGGUGUAUCUGUAACAGGUAUGAGGGUGUCACUGAAGGGCAGGCACUAGACAAAAUUGUGGCACUUUUUCACAGCCAGUAUUUUUUCCCCACCCAGCGCAAGGAAUCGACUGGAUCUGUCACAGAUGUGUUAGAUGUGUACAACCUUACAUAGCCACUCCUAAAAGUAUUUAGCAGUACAACAUAUUGACCAUGUUCUGAAGUCCUUACUCAGACAAAACCUGCCCAGAGGUCAGUGUGAACCUCGACAAAUCAAUUUAUUCCAAACCAGCUGCUGUUUCUGUGUGGUUUUGCAGCACAUACCUGUGAAAAGAAUGCAAAAUUCAGAUAAAAAUCGGGCCAGGACACGGGGGGAGAUGGAGAAUGUUGGUCCAUGUGAAUGAAGGGUGGUGCAGGGAUGGAAAUGUUAAUUUUUGGGUGGGUUGUGGGAGGAGGGGCUGAGGGGUCUUUGCCCAGAGGAGGUGACAGUGUGCAGCUCAGCCCCCGCUGCCUGACAGAGCCGCCUGCACUAGGCGGGCACUUACCUCAAAUCACAGGUUAUGAAAACUGACAUUUCCGUUCAAAUUACUCCAGCAGGUAACUGUGCCCCUCUGCAGCUUCUUCUGUAAGUGACACGGUGACAGCGGCCCAGGAAUUUAACUUGCUGUUGUCUCGUUUCAAGUGGAGUUACGAGGUGGGUGACAUGCGUUAGGGGGAUGGCUCCUGCUUUGUGUGUCUGGGCGAUUCAUCACAGGUGGAGCACAGAGCCCAGGAAGUUUUGUCAGCUCAGGGUAGCUGUCCCUGCUGUCAGCAGCCUCCUCUGACUCCUCCUCCUUUCCCACUGUCUGAGCCAAAAGCCACCCCUCCACUGAAGUUUUUCCUGGCACCUCCUGGCUCCCUGAGAUCUUUUAAGUCCCUCUCUUUAAUUAUGAUGGGCAUACGUGUACCUGGUGGUCACACUGCUGGGCUCCUUCCUCUCCUCAAGGAUGUCUCUUGGAUUUUUAAUUUUUUUUUUUUAUGUUUUUUCUGUUCAUGAAGUGCUCCAGCAGAUUUUGUGAUUCGAGGUGUUAGCCACAGAGAGGCUGAAACUGCAGAGGAUUUCUGCUGAGCUUUGUUUCUGUGCAACAUUGUCAACCAGUAAACGCCUUUGGUUUGUGGUGCUCUGCAAACAGGUAUCACCAAAUUCCAGUGUUUGGUGCUGGAGCCAAAGCAUCUGAGGGAGAGUGACCUGCCUGUGCCUUAGAGGCUCCUGGAGAAAUCACUGAUCUGCAGCCACUGCUGAGGAGCAAGGCAGCAAAGCUUGAGGUUGGUCUGUUGUAGGCCGUGGUGGCACCUUUCAGAAGAAGGUCCCAGCAACUAUCCAAGACUGGUGCACCCCCUUGGGGCUGGGAGAGGUCAGGAUGUGGUCAGGAGCAGGCUGUGGUCCCCUUGUUCUACCCCAUUCCUCUGCAAAGAAGCUGGAUGAGGACAUGGUUCUACUUGAAGCUUAAUAUGGACCUUUUGAACUGAAACCAGUGAUGGCCUUGAGCUGUAGUUACAGAUCUGAGCAUCCUUGAGCUCAAAAACCAUCCCCAUCUGGAUCUCAACCUGUCUUACAGUCAUCUUCCCUCAAAACUCAUUUUUAUAACCUGAUGACCAGCAAAUGUAUCAAUCUGUUAUUAAAGAGAAUGUAAUUAUAAAGUCAUGUUUAUCUACACUUCCUUGAGAAAAACUAGGCCUCGUUAUUGCUAUCACAGUCAGAAGAAUAAUUAGUGUCAAGUUUUUAUAGUGAAUUCAUUACCUCCUUGGACAGGGAGCAACUUUAACCAUCUUUUGCAAAAAAGCUUUCAGAAGAAAAAAUAGUGUGUGCUGAGCCAGGGUCUGCUCUGCCUGACAAGAGCAGUCAGCAAGCCAAGUGCAUUGACUGUUGAUUUUCCACACCAUGCACCAUCCAUGAAUGAAGAUGUUCUUUUAAAUUAAGCUUAUUCCAUCAUUUUCAGAUUAAAUCCUCAUAGAAGCAUUGCAUCUCCAUUGCUCUGCAGAAUUAUGUACAACUAAUAUGCUCAGAAGUCAGUUAUUGAGCUUAUUUCCAAGUUCCUGGAAGUUAAUUGUUGUUCCCGGUGAAUAUCUGAGUUUGGUGUCUGUUCUAGGUGUUGACUACAGCCAUUUUUUUUGCAAGACCAAUUUCACAUCUUCCUUCACAUCCCCCAUCGUUCCCUUUGUCUGAGUCAUUGUCUGCAAAUGGUUCCCUCUGGGUUUGAGCCAACUGUUUGAAAGCAAUGGGAAGGGUCCACCAGGGACUGUGACCUCUGGGGUUUACAUCACAUGCUCUGCUGCUCAGUUUUCAUUUCUGCUUUUGGACCUGCACCAACCCAAUCAUCUGCAAAGGCUUUAAAAGCCCAUGAAAGCUUCUUCAGUCUUCAGAGGUGUCAUGUCCUUGCAUGGUGUGUAUGUGCUGGUGGCCCUUGGCCAUGUCAAAGCUUUCAGUAAGUUCAGUAAGGAUGACUCUAUGGUUUUCCACCUGCAAGGAGAUGCAGCCUCAUUUACAGGCUGCCAUUGUGUUUAUGGUCUUUUUUUGAUGACACAUCCAUUGAUGGAGAAAAGGUCUGACCCAGACUGUGGAAAUUUCAGCUAAAGCAAAGAGGAGGGAUUGGAUGUGUCCCAAACCAAAACCUUCUACGAUUUUGCUGUUCUGGCCUUAAUAAAGAAAACUGCAGAGUUACCCUCCUGGGAGAGGGCUUCUUAGCAAGUCACGGUGCUUGUGCAGGUAAAAAAGGUACAAUAUUUAUUAUUUACCCUUCUCUGGAAUCCCCAAAUAACUUCUGUGUAUUUUUUCAGAGCAGUUCCAUGGUACCAUGGGUGCUGGGCUGUGUCUGGGCCUUGAUAACUGGCUUAGUGCUGCUGAGCUGACUCAAAAUAUCCUUAUAUAAAUAAGAAUAUGCAGAAAAAUAUAAGAAUAGAUAUGUUCUUACAUAACUAGGAAAUAUAAAUAUUUCUUCACACUUAUGGAAGGGUCAUAUCAAUAUAAGCAACCCUAAAACCACCCAACAGCAUGACAAAAUUACCUGGUUGCUCAGUUCCCAGCUCUGGACCUGCUUUGAAUACCAUAAUGAAGGCCACAAGCACUUUGGUUUCCUGAUGCCAGAGGCCUCUGGAAAUUGUUGAGAGAUUGUAGUGAUGUGAGAGGAGCUGGGCCAAGCUCAGGCAGAGGAAAGCCCCCACCUCAGGCAGUGCCCACAGCUCCCAGCACUGCUGGGAAUGAAAAAUAUUGGAUAAUCCACCUUUUGUGGAAGGAUCAUCCAUGUUCCUCCAUUUGUGGGCACUGCAGAACCCUGCAGGGAGCUCCUGUAUGUGGCAAGGCACUUCUACACAGAGCAGAAAUGCUAAAAAGCAUAAGGACCUCCCCCCC